AUAUAAUAUCUAAUAUGUAAAUAACUGUCUUAACCCCCCAAAUGCAAUGUUUAUAUAUAAUUAUUUAAAUUUAAGGACUUAAGUAAAAUGUUUAUUUUUAUUUUUCUGACCCUGUUUAACAAUGUUGUCAGAUUUUCCUGUGAACUGGGAACACUGGUAUAACUGAUAAUGAAAUUUGAAACAAAAAUAUUCAACAUUAAAUAUUUUUAUCAUUCGUGUCAGUAAAAAAGUGUGUAUUGUUCAGGAUUUUUUUAAGUAAUUAAGAGAACACUAGAUGGUUCACAUGAGCCAACAAUUUCACAGCAAUUAAACAUGUUCACAUUUCCCAUAUGGUCUGUGCGACAGUGUAGAACCACCCCUCAUUUCUUUACAUUCUGCUUGGAAAAUGGAAAAUGGAUGCAGUAAUGUAGUGAAAAAUUUACAAAUAAAAAUGGAAACGCAGCAGCUGAGGCAAAAAGAGUUUGUGCAAUUUUUAUAAGCUUUAAACCAGCAUGUUGAUUCUUCAGAACCAGACAUGAUGGUCAACACAAAUUAUACAUUUUGUGUAUAUUUUUAUUCACAGGUGAUCAUUUUUCAUUUAGUGUAGUACAAUAUUUAGCAUAUUUUUUGAUUUCCCAAAAAAUGAUUUAUUUAGCACAAUAUAGUGGGCUACAUACUGAACUCAGUAUCACACUAUUGGUCUCAUUAAUAUACACAUCCUGGUUCCUGUGCCAAAUCAUUGACGGAUGUUUUCUCUGAUUUCUUAAUGACGUGACCUUCAGUUACUUUGUAUCUGCUGUAGUCGUUGUAGCUUGAAUCAAAUUUGUUGAGGGCACCUUUGGGAUGUUUUUUAGAUUGAACUAAAGAAAUGAGAACAAAUCCCUCCCUCUGUGCUCUUAUGAAAGAGCAGAGGGAGGGAUUUGCUUUGGAAAAAACUGUAUAUUUGCCCAACAUCUGUAAAGCAGUGGGUGUGAUUUAUUCUGCCUCCACCUUUCUGUUUGACUUUGCUCUUUUAUUUAAUCUCUUAGUGUUUCUGUGCAAUGAGCAAAACAACAAGAACAACAGCAGCAGCGAUGAAGUUUCAUGCUUUUGUUUUCAUUCUUCUCUUCAUCUGCACGUAUCUGAGUCUGGCACAAGGCUCGUAUGGCAAGUGCUGCCUCGGCUAUGUUAACGACAUAAAAAAGAA